rnacentral:lncRNA from 1 species
AAUUUCAUAUCGAAUAAUGUGAGAAAGUUUGAUAGAUUUAUAAGUGACGAACACUUUAGUAAUAAUAAUCGGGUUUAAAUAUUUUGGGCCGCUGGUUUGGGUCCAACGAGUUAUUAUUGCUAGCAGUUUUGAUCGUUACUUUUGGUAUCAGAUCUUGAUAAUCAGCCGAAAGUGUGAGAUAGAUAUCACAUCGCUUGGUGAAUCUGGGACUGUGUAUGAUUGGGCCGGGCUUUCGCCUGGUGAAUCUGGGACUGUGUAUGAUUGGGCCGGGCUAAUGAACACGUCAAGGCCUAAACGAGGGGUCCCACAUUGAAUAAUAUGGGAGAAUGUGAUGGAUUUAUAAGUGAUGAACACACUAGUAAUAAGAGUAGUAGUUCAGUAUUUUCUCUCCUCUUCUUUCUUUUAUAGAACUCUUUUCUACCCAUCUUAUAAUUAUAAAAGCUCUUUCUACCCAUCUUAAAGAUAGUGUUUGAAUUGGGUACAAGAGAGGGGAUAAGAUGGUUAUCCCCCCUCUUGUACCCAAACACUAAUUUGGGUGGGUGGGAACACUUGUUCCCACCUACCCGGUACAACCGAGUAUAGGUGAGAACAGGGGUGGGAACAAUUUGUUCCCAUCCCCCGGGUAGAGAGAGAGAGAGAGAGAAAUUUUUGUUUUAAAUUUAAAUUUAAAUUUUUAAAAUUUAAAAUUUAUAAUUUUGAAAUUAAAAGUUUAAAUUUUAAAUUUGAUAUUUUUAAAUUGUAAAUUUUAAAUUUGAUAUUUUUAAUUUUUAAAUUUUAAAUUUGAUAUUUUAUUUCUUUCAAAUUUAAAUUUGGUCUUAAAUUUAAAAUUUGAUAUUUAAAAUUAAAAUUUUAAUUUUUAAUUUUAAAUUUUAAAAUUUAAAAGUUAAAAUUUAAAAUUAUAAGUUUCAAAUUUAAAAAUUUAAAUUCAAUUAUAUGGGUAAUAUCAUUAUUUUCUAUUUAUAACUACCAACUUGUAAUAUGCGGACUUUUGAUACUUGUGUAGGUGUGAGAAAGAGGGUGGAAAUGAGGUGAAACCGUUUUGGCGCGAAAUUGACGCGAAAACGGAUAAAUUGCGCCAAUAUUUCUUUAUGAGGGACCAUAUUACAAAUAGCAAAAUUACUGGAUUAAGUUGCAAAAUGGCUUGAUCUUAUCCUCUCUCCCUCUCUCUCUCCCUUUGAAGCUGCCAGAAAACAAGAGAAAAGAAAGAGAGAAAGAGAGAAGAAGAAGAAGAAGAAGAAGAUGAAGAUAACUUGGAGGCAAGGUAAAAAUUUCCAUUCUUCUCUUUCCCUUCCCUUCUUCUUCCCUUUCUUUUCCCUUCUUUCCUCUCUUCUCCUUUCCUUCUUCCUUUCCUUCUUCCUUUCCUUCUUUCCUCUUCUUCCCCUGCUGCUGCUGGUGCAGUUUUGCAACCUUGCUGCUGCUGCGAGGUACUGUAGCAGCAGCAGCAGCAGCUCAGCAGCAGCAGCAGCUCAGCAGCAGCAGCAGCAGAUUGCUGCUGCAGGCUGCCCAGUAGCAGCAACAAAUUGUUGCUACUGCAGAGGCAGCAAAAAAGAAAGAAAGAAAAGGAAAAGAGAAGAGGAAAAGAAGAAAUGAAAGGAAGAGGAAGAAUGAAAAAGAGAAAUCAAGAGAGAGAGAGAGAGAUGGAAAGAAAAGAAUAGAUAGAAUAACAUGAAUGAAGUGGAUGUAGAAAUUGGAUCGAGUGAUGCAAUUGCCAUGAUUCGCACCUCUAAUCUUCAAUUGAUGCACGCAGGGUGUUCGAGAGUGUGAAUUAGUGUGAUACACAUUUCCGAUGAGGCGCAAUGAGGUGCAAUUUAAGUAAUUUCGGAAAAUCGUGCGAAGGGUCGCGUGUAGCCUUUCUUUUAUCGGAGUCGACAUAGCGAGUCGAGGUGGGUUCCGAGUCGUCGAAAACGGCGAAUUUCCCCCUAUGUCUAUUUUGGUACAAGCUAUAUAAUAUUUGAAUUUGCGCAUCUAAUUUAUCUUUUUAUUGAUCCUCAGACCGUGAAAAAUUGAAGCAUGAUAGAGAUUUAGCAUUGACAUCUGAUUAUGCGCGGAAGUAUGUAUAUGCAUAUGCGUAUGGUGAUCCACCUUAUACUCACAUUUUUAUCCAAACACAAUUUUUCUAGUUCCAGCUUAUACUUACAUUUUUAUCCAAACAAAAAAAUGCCAUUUUUCUUACAAAAAUUCAUACUUAUACUUAUCCCCGAUAUAACUAGUUCUUAUUUAUAUCCAAACCAAACGAAGCCUACGAAUCUCUUGUAUAUAAUACCGUCUCCACCUCUUCGGGCUUCCUUAAAGGGAACCCUUUUAAUGCAUCUUAUAAUAUCCUAAGAAUCCUUUGUAUAUAAUACCGUCUCCACCUAUUCGGGUUUCCUUAAAGGGAACCCUUUUAAUGUAUCUACUAGUGAAGUUACCCACGCAUUGCAGCGGGCUGAUGCUAUAGAAGACAGAAGAUUCACAAAAUAAAAAUUUUAAAUUUUUUGAAUUGCCAUAAGACAUUAAUAAAUAAAGAUAAUAUAUAUUAACAUAUACAAAUAAAAGAGAUGAAACAGAUAUACGUACAAAUGUAACAAAAUUUCAGUAAAUGAAUUAUAAAAAAUAGUAAUGAAAGAAGCAGCAAUAGAAUUAUUACUCCAUACGUAUCUUGAUCACACUACCGACAUCGGGGAGACGAAUACCCAUCUCCACAUUACCUUUGCCACCAUUAUCAACGUCGAGCUCCUUUUUCGUCACUGCCACGUUGAUUCCCUACAGAUCUCUCCAAACGUACCACUUCUUUCCUCUCAUUGACUCCAAAUCUAUCUUCGCUUUUCCCCGCGAUGCUGCGCUACAAUCCACGAAACUCUAAUUUCAAUACACAUACAAUUUAAAAACAAAAAGAUAAAAAAAUAAAAAAAAUUACAAAAUAUGAACCAUUCUUAUGCGCCAAAAAAAUAAAAAAAAAAGAGUACGAAGAAAUCUUAUUUUACUUAUUUUCUUUUAUGAAAGCAAUUUGUAUAUAUGAAAUUGGACCAUAAAAAAAAUACAUCUCUUAUUUUUGUAACAGAGGACUAUUAGCGUGUAAGAGAGUCCACAAAGCGAGGGCAAAGCGAGAGCUUUGGUGACGUUCACGGGUACGCCUAGCCUCGCCCCUUCUCAUAUGGCCUCGCAGAGGCAUGUGACGCUCCGGCUUAGCACGUGAUCGAGCCCGGAGCAGCAACCCCGAUUCGGCACCGUUCGCCCCGCCCUCCACAAACUCCAAGCAUUCGCUGAACCCAAACAAUGCGCCCGAACAAUCAUGGCUCGACCCGAAUGGCGUUGAUGGGUUCGUACUCGCGUUCGAGAAUAAUAAUAAGAAUAAUAGAAUGAAGAGUUGGUUUGUAACAUAGGACAUUGUUGGAGUGUGGUAUUUGGUUUCGGAGAAUGAGGAGAUGAUGAUGAUGGGGUUUUAGUGGUGCUAAUUGUGUGGAUCAUCGUAAUUAUUAAAGUUAAUGAUGCGUUAGUAACUCCUUGGUGGGGAGAUGAAGAGUGUGGGUUUAAGAUCGUAAUUAUUAAAGUUAAUGAUGCGUUAAUAACUCCUUGGUGGGGAGAUGAAGAGUGUGGGUUGUGAUUAGAGAAGAGAGGAGAAGGUAAGGAUAAAGGAGGGACCGCCACGUGGCAAGACUUCAUGGAAAAUAAUGUAUAGGUAUAGAGGUAUAGAUAAUCAUGUAAGUCUCGAUGUACUUUUUAAUAUAUUAUUUUAUGUUUCUUUUGUUACGACAAACGCACAAAUGAAAACGAAAUUACGAAUACAAAAUAAACAAAUCACAAGUAGAAGCAAAAGAAAAACACACAGAUUUAUGUAAAAAAUUCUUUGCAGGAAAAAAUCACAGGCGAGGAAGAAGAGAACUUCACUAUAAAACGAAAAAAAGGGAAUACAAUAUUCAGAUAGUACAACCAACCACGAUCUCACGCCUUUAGGGCAAAAACAAAAAGGAAAACUCUUAACGAGUUUCGGAUCCGAUCCGUACCUUCACAAUUUUAUUUUUCUAUUUGGUCGCAUCGCGAAACUGUCGGCGAGUCGAAAAACUCGAACUUGAGUCGAUUAUCAAUUUUGAGUCACAUCUAACAUCUUUCAUCCAUGAUAUUUUUCUGGUUUCACCUAGAUCUAUCAGCCUAUCCGAACAUAGGUUAUGCUUAAGGUUUUUCCUUAAGAUGAAUAUUACAUCUUGAGCAAGUAUAAAGCAUAUACACUUGGCGAAUUUCAUAAGGGCUUGGGUGUCUGUUGAGGUCGUUCCGCCGUUGAGCUUAGACAUUAGGCCUUUGGACAAUUUCUUUCCCUGAAAACCGUACAUCAUGAGGGUCUUGUACACUAUCAGUCUGUCUCAAGUGGUAUUCAUCUAAGGCGAAGUCCAAAUAGUAUAGCCGGCCGUAGAAGCUUGGUCUUAGGUCUGGGGAGGACGGUCGGUCUACUAUCGAGCACAUAUUGCAUGAAAAAUAUAAUGAGAUGAAGAACCAAAAGAAAGAAAUUAAAUUAAAGAACCUUAGA